ensembl:snRNA U6 U6 spliceosomal RNA
GUGCUUGCUUUGGCAGCACAGACACUAAAACUGGAAUGAUACAGAGAAGAUUAGCAUGGACCCUACGCACGGAUGACACACAAAUUCGUGAGGUGCUCCAUGAUUCU